rnacentral:rRNA from 1 species
UAGUCUCGCACAGAUGCAUAUCAAUAAGCGGAGGAAAAGAAACUAACAAGGAUUCCCCUAGUAACGGCGAGUGAAGCGGGAAGAGCUCAAAUUUGAAAUCUUAAAGGGUUUCCCUUUACGAAUUGUAGUUUAAAGAAGUGUUUUCUGUUGAGGUUUUGGUAAAAGUUCUUUGGAAUAGGACAUCAUAGAGGGUGAGAAUCCCGUAUUUGACCUUUACUUUCAACUUUGUGAUACACUUUCAAAGAGUCGGAUUGUUUGGGAAUGCAGUCCAAAAUGGGUGGUAAAUUUCAUCUAAAGCUAAAUAUUGGCGAGAGACCGAUAGCGAACAAGUACCGUGAGGGAAAGAUGAAAAGAACUUUGAAAAGAGAGUUAAACAGUACGUGAAAUUGUCAAAAGGGAAGCGUUUGACACCAGUGUUGUUUUUCUGAAAAUCAAUUAAAGAACUGUUUAUGCUAAGCUGUUUAGACUUUAUCAGCUAUCUGUUUAGUUUUGAGCUUUUCUUUAAUGCACUUUUCAGUUAACAAGUCAACAUCAAUUUCUUUUGCUGUAAAAAAGCUUGAGGAAGGUGGCUUGAGAUUCGUCUUAAGUGUUUAUAGCCUCUUGCCUAUGCAGUCGGAGAGAUUGAGGUCUGCAGCGUAGAUCCUUCGGGGCUAAAUGCAUUUGUGCUAAGUUAUAGCAUUUUAUAGACAACUUGUUGACUAUGAUUUGUCUUGUAGCUUACUCGCUUAUGUUAUUUUACCUACGCUUAGGAUGUUGACAGCAGUAUAGACUGU